AAAAUAUCCAAAGCAAUUUUGAUCUAAAUGGACCACUUGUUGUACAUUGGGAUGAAAAGCUACUUCAAGAUCUCACAGGUACUGACAAAGUAGAAAGAUUGCCAGUUUUGGUAUCUUCUGGAGCAAAUGUUCAGCUGCUUGGAGUCCCAAAAUUGUCUUCUGGAACUGGUGAAAGACAGGCAAACGAAGUUUGCAAAUUGAUGAAUGCAUGGGAACUAAGCGAUCGCAUCUGUGCAAUGGGAUUUGAUACAACAGCAGCAAAUACAGGAAUCAAAAAAGGCGCUUGUACCCUAAUCGAGAAGCGGAUUGGCAGAGAUCUUUUAUGGCUGGCGUGUAGGCAUCAUAUUGCCGAAGUUUUGAUGACAGCAGCUUGGGAAAAACUAUUUCCUUCAAAAGGCCCUUCUUCAAGUAUUUUUAUAAAAUUUAAAUCGGCAUGGCCUACUAUGGAUCAAUCCUUUGAUGAAAAUAUGGUAGACGAAAACAUUAUUGAGAUCCUUGGUGAUGAAACACAACAUUUGAUUGAAUUUUUGAAAACCAACUCAAUAUUCAACAGCAACGACAAGACUAUAAAGAGUUGCUAAAUUGCUCGGUGGUACGUUGCUCUCAUUUUAACCACCCCUGGGGGACACGCUCGACGCCCUCGACUUUGGAUGCUUAUAACUUGGCCAAUUUCAAAGGAAUCCGUCGACUACAGCGCCACCUAGAAGCAAAAAACUGAAACGGUUGCGUUUCCUCAUACAUUUGGAUCACUUUUCCCAUACAAACUUUGAGUCAUUUGCGCACGCCAACCACUGGA